GUAAGGAAUAUUGGUCAAUGGACGAAAGUCUGAACCAGCCAUGCCGCGUGAAGGAUUAAGGCCCUCUGGGUUGUAAACUUCUUUUAUCUGGGACGAAAAAAGGGUAUUCUUACUCACUUGACGGUACCAGAGGAAUAAGCACCGGCUAACUCCGUGCCAGCAGCCGCGGUAAUACGGAGGGUGCAAGCGUUAUCCGGAUUCACUGGGUUUAAAGGGUGCGUAGGUGGAUAUUUAAGUCAGUGGUGAAAUCUCCGAGCUUAACUCGGAAACUGCCAUUGAUACUAUUUAUCUUGAAUGCCCUGGAGGUAAGCGGAAUAUGUCAUGUAGCGGUGAAAUGCUUAGAUAUGACAUAGAACACCAAUUGCGAAGGCAGCUUACUACGGGGUGAUUGACACUGAGGCACGAAAGCGUGGGGAUCAAACAGGAUUAGAAACCCCAGUAGUCC
rnacentral:rRNA from 1 species